rnacentral:lncRNA from 1 species
GGGGGAGGGGAGGGAGCCAAGGGAUGGACAUCUUGUUUUUGUUUUGGUUUUUUUUUUUUUUUUUUUUUGUUUCAGUUUUUUUUUCUCUAUGAAUAAAUGUCACUUUUUGAGGCAAAAA